UUUAUAUUUUUUCUUUAUGAUACCAAUAUUAUAGAAAUAUAUAUAAAUAUAACCAUAUACUAUCAUGAUAUUACAUAGUGUCAUCUUUAAAACAUUUAUAACAAUUUAAAAGAAGUAAAUUAUACAUCUUUGAUAACAUGAAAAUUUUAUCUUUAUUUCCAAAUAGCCUUAUUCAAUAUGAAAAUAAGAUGCAUUCCUAUAUAGAAUAUUAAGUAUGAAUCUAUAUGUGUAAGAAGUGAAGAAACCCUCCUGAAAAACUGAGUGAUUUAUAACACCAAAGUGAUAUGUCUUUCAAAGAUUAAUUAUUUUUUGUCCUCUAGUUGUCUAAUAGCUCCCUUAUUAAAUAUUCCCUGAUGAGAAAUUACUGCUUUUACCAUCCAGGAUCCUAUUUUAAAAACUAUACUUAAAGAUAUUAGGAGCGAUCUAAGUGAAAAAUAAGCCCAGUGAAUGGCUGUUCAAUUAGGGUGUAAAACCUUUUUAAGUGCCAUUUCAAAAAGUCAGACUAUGUACUUGAUAGAACUUAGAGGGGGUUAUGUGCCAAAGAAUUACUCAUAAUGAUUUAAUUCCUUCAUUUUAUAGAUUACAGCUUCCGCUCUUCUAUUGAUGCGCAAUGGAUUUAUGUGUUUAAUUCCCAUUAACACUAAUGGGAGCUUUGUGCAUUAAACCAAAAUACAGUUUUUAACAGGUCUGCUUCCAUAUUUCUUCUCUAGACCUAUGUAAAAUUUCAAAAUUUGAUACAUUUUAAAAAUCUUUAUGAUCAUUAUAUUUGAAUAAUUUAUCAUUUAUUCAGAGGGAUUUGUUUCUCAUUUAGAAUUUUGUAAGAAUGAAUGCUCUAUUAUCACAGAGUGGCAUGUGAUUUAUUUGGGAUUAAUUUUGCAAGGCGGUAUUGAAUUACCACAGGGCUUGUAGGUCUUGGAACUGACAAGUACUCUACUUGUGCAAAUAAUAUUUUAAGUUAGCAUUUACCCUCUCAGCUUUCCAAUCAUUAGUCCAUUUUGAUGGUAUUAUCUGUUGAUUCCAGUGUGAUCAUGGGGUGGGGAAUUGCAAUGUAAAAUAUCCAGAUUAUUAUUUUUUUUCUGACACACACGUUUCAAAGUUAGGUUUGAACAUAUGUUUGAUGUUGAUACUUGAGAAUUAGCACAGAGCCUUUGAAUUUUAUUUCUAAAGAUAGUGGUCAAUUUAAAAAAAAUGAUCAAAGGUAAGUUAUAGUGGUAUAUUUGUAGGUGUUAUGUUCUCUGUCCUUCUGUUUAGGAAAAUAUGAAUAUUAGAUGAAUCAGGUUUCCAGAAAAAUAAAUAAUGCCUUCCUAAGUAGUUAAAGGAUGUAAUUAUGCUACAAUGCACGUUGGGAUGCAUAUAGAAUGCAUAACAUCGUUUCACUUACGUGAAAGGCACUAAUGACUGCUCCACAAAAAUUGUCUGCAGAGAAAAACUUGAGGCUGAACUCAUGGCUGAGUGCUUUGGUUAUAUGAACAAGAAAUGUCUGAAGUAGGAAGAAAUGAUAUGAGUAACACACACACACACACACACACACACACACACACACACACCUACUUACUAUAGAUAGGGAAGUCAUGACAGAUCAAUAUAAGCAGUCUUCCAAAGUCCAGCUUAUAGAACUAAGAAGUUAUAGUGACGUUGUUUACAAUGGUCUGGCUCAAGGGUUACCUAUGGAGCAGGAUGAUUUAAAUGCAGCUCCAUCAACCAAGAGGCCACCCCAAUACAAAUGGUGAGUUAUGAGAGUUUCAAGCCUAUAGCCCUCUGCACAAAUCUCCUUCAGGCUGCAGGCUUGGUGGGUCUCCUGCACCUUCAGUUUGAUGCUUCCAUUCCAUGGAGCUUGUACCCUAGAUAGUCUUGAAAGUUUCAGCUUGCCCAGGCAGUAAAGUUUAUUUGUUUUCUUAGACUCAUGAGCCUUUCUCCUUUAUCUUGGAGGAACAAACUUCAAUUCUGUGACUGCUGUAUGGCAGACAUACACAAACUUACAUCAUCUGUAUUGUAAAGGACCAUUAAGUACAUCUUUUGGGUUUAAUAGCUGACAACCUAACUUUAUAGACUCGGUAAGAGGAUCAGUCUCUUGUUUCUAUGAUGGAGAGCAUAUUCAACAGGAAACUUUAAUUCCCCUAUGGAUUCAGCAUGGCCAUGCCCAGUACUGUAUAUCUACAGCACACACAUGUGUACAUACACUAUGCUUACAAGUGUACAUAAACUAAUAGAAAUGUGCAUGAAUUUGCACUCAUGCAUACACACACACCCAUACACCUACACAUACACACACAGACAUGCAGACACACACACACAUACACACCUAAAAUCCAAACAACUCUUAUACAUAAAAGGCAUUUAAGAGAUACAAUUGCAAUUACUCUUAUUGGUCUAUCACUGCAAGUCCUUCAAUGAAUCUCUACUUUCUGAUAGCCACAAAAUUUUUUAUCAUUCUUGUUUAUGACAACACAGCUGAAAUGCAAGAAAAGAGAUUUGAAAGCAUAUUAUAUUAGUUAUCUUUAUACAUGUAUAAUUUACCAUUACAUUUUAAUAUGCUUUAAUGCAUUUUAAUUCAAUCAAUAUUUCUACAGAUUAUAGCAUUCACAUAUAGUCAUAUAUAUUCAGAAAGAUUCCACUUUGCGUAUUUUUUAAUUAUAGAUCCUUUCAUGGUUAUACCUCCUCCCAAUUUGUAGAUUUUAAAAUGUAGAUUUUCCCCACAAAGAAUCAUUCAUAUAACAACACAUUAUAUAUUUUUAUUUUAAAUUUACUCCCAAAUAGAGUAUAUAAUAUAUUCCCUAUAACAUUUCCACACAUAGCAGCACAACCCUUUGUCUUCCAGUUUCAAAUUAAUAAUUUUGGGUGUAAUUAAAAUGUUAUAUUACCCAUAUUUUCAGUGCUAUCUAGUGUCAUGUUACCAUAUUGCUCACUAUAGCUCUGUUUAAUCGAAAUCUGUUGAUUUCUCUCCCCUUAGUUUCUGCUUUUCUCCAACUCCAUUGACUGACACUACAGUCAGCCCCACACAGACUCUCCAGUAAAAAUUAUUUUCCUUUCUCCUUUUCUUUCAAUCUGGAUAUCACUCACUCCCACAACUCCUUCCAGGAUUCAGAGAUUGUUACUCAAAUUACAGCUUCCAGGUGUGACUUACCACAUCCCUGAUUUUUAAAAAUCAUGCCAACAUCUCUACAUUUAUCCUGUACCCUGCUCUCAUUUUUCUCCCAAAAUUGACUGUUUGCAAAUAUAAUUAAUUCCUUCAUUCAUAGUCUUUCUCAGAUAAUUUAACAUCACAUCAAUUUUAAUCACUGAUAUAAAGCAGAUAAAUGGUAUUUAGUGCAUGUAUAAUCUAUGAUCAGUAUUUUUGUUUAAUAUCUAACUUAUUACACUUUGGAAUUUACCUUCAUAUUUUUCAUUACAUGAUGUGUGUGUUGUGGUGUGUGUGUGUGUGUGUGUGUGUGUGUGUGCGCGUGCACAUACAUAUGUGUGUUUCUGUGGGUAGAUUUGUUCAAGAUAACAGAAUGCCCAUUGAUAUCAGAAGAGGUUGUUGGGUGCCUUAGAACUUAGGUUUAGACAGUUGUGAAACUGCCUUCCGCAAGAGCAGUUCCUGUUCUUAAAUGGGUGAUCUCUCCAGCUUCAGAUCUGAAAUCUGAGAAUAAAAUCUAUGACUCAAGAAAUGAGACUAUAGAUGGGGAACUAUCGCACAAUCAUCUGGUGUAAAUCAGGAAGCUAUCUCCAGGAUUAAAUGCCCAUCACGGAGCAGAUAAGCCCGAGAGAGCACUGAAGACAAAGCUUGUAAACUGAAUUUAUGCUCUCCUAUCUGUCACCAUGUAAACACAGAGAAAGCAAGUCCUGUGUGUAGUAUUGAAAAGUUUCCCUCUAAAUCAUGAGAAAAAUAAAAUAAAUAUUAAUAACUUCCCUGCAGUUUUUACAAACCUACGCUUUUGAGGAAAAGAUAACUUUUGUAAAAGGAAACUAUAUUGAAAAGCACACUUCCAAAAAGUUUCAACAAAUCAGUCUCCUGGCCACAAAGUGCAAUUUAGCAGAGCUUUGUAAGCAAUCUGAUGCUGUACAAAAUUUACAAGGUUCUUCACUCCAGGGAUCACCAUAAAGGCAGAAUCCAUAAUGAAGGAACAAUGAACAAAUAAAUGAUAGCUGACCAGCCCAGCCAAUCCUUAAGACUAUAAAUAGGACGCCCAUGGUGCUGAGGUAGCACACGUUUUAAGACCACAGGUGUGAGACAUUUACCAGUAGUCUAAUUCAGGCCCUUGAGCUUCUUUGACAUCACAAGGGGUCAGAAAUGGUUUAAAUGAACACAAGUUUAAUUAUGCCUGGGACUAUGUCUGUGGGAAUUUCUUUAUACAAUAUAUAAGUUCCCACAGCAUUCCAAAGAUUUAAAGGGAAUCAAAC
rnacentral:lncRNA from 1 species